AUUUCUCAAGAUCAUCAGUUUGGACAGAAUUCAUUUGAAGAAUUAAUAGCACUAGCAGGUUCCAAUAAAGGCUGGAACAGAACAGACAGAAAAGAAUCUGUCAGAAGAAAUUCAACUACUGUUCGUGCACCAGAUGGUGAAGUAGAAAAGUUCGUAAAAACUUCUGCAGCUUGCAUCUGACAGAGAUGCAAAAAGAAUCAGAGAGCGGGCCUGAAAACAAGCAAAUUCAAGGUAUUUCAAUUGUUGUUAAAGGGAUAGUUCAAUAGAUAUUCUUUCAUCAUUUACUCAUCCUCAUGUUGUUCUAAAUCUGCAUGAUUUUUUCUGAUGAACACAAAUUAAGAUGUUUUGCGUAAUGAUGGUAAAAACACAGCACAUUGUAACCAUUGACUUCCAUAGUAGGAAAAAGUAUUUUGAAAGU